AUUGAACGCUGGCGGAAUGCUUUACACAUGCAAGUCGAACGGCAGCACGGGGCAACCUGGUGGCGAGUGGCGAACGGGUGAGUAAUAUAUCGGAACGUGCCCAAUCGUGGGGGAUAACGUAGCGAAAGUUACGCUAAUACCGCAUACGAUCUACGGAUGAAAGCGGGGGAUCGCAAGACCUCGCGCGAAUGGAGCGGCCGAUAUCAGAUUAGGUAGUUGGUGGGGUAAAGGCUCACCAAGCCAACGAUCUGUAGCUGGUCUGAGAGGACGACCAGCCACACUGGAACUGAGACACGGUCCAGACUCCUACGGGAGGCAGCAGUGGGGAAUUUUUGGACAAUGGGCGCAAGCCUGAUCCAGCCAUUCCGCGUGAGUGAAGAAGGCCUUCGGUGUAAGCUCUUUCUAGCAGGAACGAAACGGUAGGUCCCGUAAC
rnacentral:rRNA from 1 species